UACGGAGAGUGCGAACGUUGUUCGGAUUCACUGGGCGUAAAGGGCACGUAGGCGGCUUGGCAAAUCGGUCGUGGAAUCCCGACGCUUACCGUCGGAACGGCGGCCGAAAAUACCGAGCUCGAGGGCGUGAGGGGUCACUGGAACUCCUGGUGAAGCGGUGAAAUGCGUAGAUAUCAGGAGGAACGCCGGAGGCGAAAGCGAGUGACUGGCGCGUUCCUGACGCUGAGGUGCGAAAGCGUGGGGAGCGAACAGG
rnacentral:rRNA from 1 species